AAAUUGAAGAGUUUGAUCAUGGCUCAGAUUGAACGCUGGCGGCAGGCCUAACACAUGCAAGUCGAACGGUAACAGGAAACAGCUUGCUGUUUCGCUGACGAGUGGCGGACGGGUGAGUAAUAUCUGGGAAACUGCCUGAUGGAGGGGGAUAACUACUGGAAACGGUAGCUAAUACCGCAUAACGUC
rnacentral:rRNA from 1 species